rnacentral:rRNA from 1 species
CAUUAUCGAAUUGUCAACACGAGUUGUUGCUGGCCUUCAAACGGGGGCAUGUGCACGCUCUGUUUGCAUCCACUCACACCUGUGCACCCUCUGUAGUUCUACGGUCUGGGAGACCCUGUCUUCCUUCUGUGGUUCUGCGUCUUUACACACACACUGUAACAUGGUCUUAUGGAAUGUACGCAGCGUUUAACGCAAUACAAUACAACUUUCAGCAACGGAUCUCUUGGCUCUCGCAUCGAUGAAGAACGCAGCGAAAUGCGAUAAGUAAUGUGAAUUGCAGAAUUCAGUGAAUCAUCGAAUCUUUGAACGCACCUUGCGCCCUUUGGCUAUUCCGAAGGGCAUGCCUGUUUGAGUAUCGUGAACACCUCAACUCUCAUGGUUUGCCAUGAAGAGCUUGGACUUUGGAGGUUUUGCUGGCCCCGCGGUCUGCUCCUCUCAAACGAAUUAGCUUACCAGUGUAUGGUGGCGCCACAGGUGUGAUAACUAUCUGCGCUUGUGGUCGCACGCCAGACAACCUUCAGCACUGGAGGUUUGCUGGGGCUCAUAAAAGUCUUUCCUCGGUAAAGACAGCUUCUGAACGUUUGAUCUCAAAUCAGGUAGGACUACCCGCUGAACUUAAGCAUAUCAAUAAGCGGAGGANAAGAAACUAACAAGGAUUCCCCUAGUAACUGCGAGUGAAGCGGGAAGAGCUCAAAUUUAAAAUCUGGCGUGCCUCUGGUCGUCCGAGUUGUAGUCUGGAGAAGCGUUUUCCGUGUUGGACCGUGUACAAGUCCCUUGGAACAGGGCGUCAUAGAGGGUGAGAAUCCCGUCUUUGACACGGACUACCAAUGCUUUGUGAUGCGCUCUCAAAGA